AGAAUCAACGCUGGCGGCGUGCCUCAGACAUGCAAGUCGAACGAUUAAAGCUCUCUUCGGAGAGUGUAUAGAGUGGCGCACGGGUGAGUAACACGUAAGUAAUCUACCUUUGAGUGGGGAAUAACAGUCGGAAACGACUGCUAAUACCGCAUAAUGCAGCGGCAUCGCAAGAUGACAGUUGUUAAAGGAGCAAUCCGCUUAAAGAGGAGCUUGCGGCAGAUUAGCUAGUUGGUAAGGUAAUGGCUUACCAAGGCUACGAUCUGUAACCGGUCUAAGAGGACGGUCGGUCACACUGACACUGAAUAACGGGUCAGACUCCUACGGGAGGCAGCAGUCGGGAAUUUUGGGCAAUGGGCGAAAGCCUAGACCCAGCAACGCCGCGUGAAGGAUGAAGUAUUCGGUAUGUAAACUUCGAAAGAAUAGGAAGAAUAAAUAGACGUAACUAUUAAUAAGGUCCGACUAACUACGUGCCAGCAGCCGCGUAAUCGUGAG
rnacentral:rRNA from 1 species